rnacentral:ncRNA from 1 species
CUGAAAACAAAGAGAAAGAAGAGUAACUUAAUUCUUAAUUAACAGCGAGUCUUGUUAGGUGGAAGAAGACAAAUUCAAGAUUAAGUGAAAAUCACUUUCGAGUUCUAUUUCUUAAUCUUUUAGUAAGAAAUAGUGGGAGCGCCCAUUAUAGUGCCAGCGUAUCGCCAAUUGGCCGUACGUGAAAGGUAUUGCUAGUAAUAGCAAUAUAAAUAAAGGGUGGUACCACGCUCAAGCGUCCCUCAA